CAGAAACCCAUGAAAACCAAAAUAUGGCACUAGAGGAGAAAGUAAUAAACUAGCUGCAAAUGUGAAUAAGCUGUAAACAAAUAAGGAGAGGCAAAGAGAGUCUGAAACAAUGUGAACUAAAGCACAAAAAUAGAGACCAGGUGUAACAAAGACCAGCUUCGUUAAUGGUGGCAGGUAGCGCACUGUACCGUGGGAGUCUUGUAUCAUCUAUAGACUCCUGGGCAUUGAAGUACUACCCUAUGUUGCCUACAUUACAAAUAGCAUUCUAGUAUGUUCUAGAAUAAUCCCAGUUAUUACCUAUAUAUCUUGGAAAGAUGUUUUCUG